rnacentral:tRNA from 1 species
GCCGGGAUGGCGGAAUCGGUAGACGCGACGGACUUAAAAUCCGUUAGCCGCAAGGCUGUGAGGGUUCGAGUCCCUCUCCCGGCACCA